UACUUACAAUGUGAGACUGUGAAGGAGACUGAAAGAGAUGGGGUCUGCUUGGAAAAGAGUAUCUGUAGUAUGAACAGUCUGUAUGAUCACUAUCAAAAAUCUAUAAUGAGAUUUUUGAGUUUCUUUAUGAAGUUUUGGAGUUUGUUUUGCUUUGGUUUUUGUUUUGUUUUUGUUUGGUUGGUUUUUUCUGGUAAAUACUGUGUGGAAGAUCAGCUCUGAUGCUGGAAGUCUUUAUUUCUCUGGAAGCUCAGUUUUCUUGAAUUGAGAAUAUAACUUUCUUCAGUCUUGAAAGCUGAAGUGACACAGAUAUUACCUCAGCAUGAAAAGAAUCCCAAGAAAUCACUGGGAAGUAAACAGAAUACAAAAAAAGAAGAGAACAAGAGAGGACUCACGCUGUCUGGAAAAAGACCAAAGUAUGGAGCAGCAUGAAAUCAUCACAACUAUAGGCUGAUUGGUAGAAAAAAAUAUAGGGCAAA